rnacentral:rRNA from 1 species
UACGUAGGGUGCGAGCGUUGUCCGGAAUUAUUGGGCGUAAAGAGCGUGUAGGCGGCUUUGCAAGUCCGUUGUGGAAACUCGAGGCUCAACCUCGAGACGCCGGUGGAAACUGCAAAGCUAGAGUCCGGAAGAGGAGAGUGGAAUUCCUGGUGUAGCGGUGAAAUGCACAGAUAUAUAGAAGAACAUCAAUAACGGCGAAGGCAGUUAACUAUUCUGUUACUGACACUGAGGCACGAAAGCGUGGGGAGCAAAACGG